GACGAACGCUGGCGGCGUGCCUAAUACAUGCAAGUUGAGCGCUGAAGGUUGGUACUUGUACCAACUGGAUGAGCAGCGAACGGGUGAGUAACGCGUGGGGAAUCUGCCUUUGAGCGGGGGACAACAUUUGGAAACGAAUGCUAAUACCGCAUAAAAACUUUAAACACAAGUUUUAAGUUUGAAAGAUGCAAUUGCAUCACUCAAAGAUGAUCCCGCGUUGUAUUAGCUAGUUGGUGAGGUAAAGGCUCACCAAGGCGAUGAUACAUAGCCGACCUGAGAGGGUGAUCGGCCACAUUGGGACGGAGACACGGCCCAAACGCCUACGGGAGGCAGCAGUAGGGAAUCUUCGGCAAUGGACGAAAGUCUGACCGAGCAACGCCGCGUGAGUGAAGAAGGGUUUCGGAUCGUAAAACUCUGUUGGUAGAGAAGAACGUUGGUGAGAGUGGAAAGCUCAUCAAGUGACGGUAACUACCCAGAAAGGGACGGCUAACUACGUG
rnacentral:rRNA from 1 species